rnacentral:tRNA from 1 species
GCCUGGGUGGCUCAGUCGGUUAAGCAUCUGACUUCAGCUCAGGUCACGGUCUCGUGGUCCGUGAGUUCGAGCCUCGCGUCGGGCU